AGCAGCCGCGGUAAUUCCAGCUCCAAUAGCGUGUAUUAAAGUUGUUGCAGUUAAAAAGCUCGUAGUUGAAUUUCGGGAUCAAUUUGCUGGUCGUGCCUCUGGUACGUACUGGUAUUAUUGGUUUCUCCCUUCUGACGAACCAUGAUGUCAUUAAUUUGAUGUCGUGGAGAAUCAGGACUGUUACUUUGAAAAAAUUAGAGUGUUUAAAGCAGGCAUUAGCUUGAAUACAUUAGCAUGGAAUAAUGAAAUAGGACGUUUGAUCCUAUUUUGUUGGUUUCUAGGAUUGACGUAAUGAUUAAUAGGGAUAGUUGGGGGCAUUAGUAUUCAAUUGUCAGAGGUGAAAUUCUUGGAUUUAUUGAAGACUAACUACUGCGAAAGCAUUUGCCAAGGAUGUUUUCAUUAAUCAAGAACGAAAGUUAGGGGAUCGAAGACGAUCAGAUACCGUCGUAGUCUUAACCAUAAACUAUGCCGACUAGGGAUCGGAUGAUGUUAAUUUUUUAAUGACUCAUUCGGCGCCUUACG
rnacentral:rRNA from 1 species